UAGGGAAUUGGAAGAUUUGUAAUGGAUACUGCUUGUGUUGUUUUAUUUUUACAGGUUGUGCCGAUACGAAGGCCUGACUCUCCAACGGGUCACCUGUACAGCAAGAGCAAGAGCAAGGAGAGAGUAAACACAGUCUCGUGUGUAUCCCCGACCUUCAGGAGAAGACCAAGAAGAAGGAGAAGAAAUCACCAAAUGACUGGCCCUUUCACUUGGCAGCGUCAACUCACCAUUCAGCCGCUGACCCCCAGUGACAGACUUCCGGGAGACUGGAAGGUAGUGGUGUCCACCAUGCUGGGAGGAGGACAGCGCUAAGUGACGGCACCCGACUCUGUGUGUGUGUGUCCUGACGUCCACCGCUGGUGCUGAAGUGAGGGUCUGAGGUGGGCAGCACAGGGCCAGAAGACAGCAACCGACUCUGUGUGUGUGUGUCCUGACGUCCACAGCUGGUGCUGGUGCUGAAGUGAGGGUCUGAGGUGGGCAGCACAGGGCCAGAAGACAGCA